AAAAGUAUGGGCAGUGGAGCAGGACUCUGUGGGUUUAAAUCCCAGCCCCACAACUACUGUUCAAUUUAGGUGAAGUUAACCUCUCUGGGCCUCUGUUUGUUCAUUUGUAAAAUGGAGAUAAUCACAGUUCUUGCUUAUUAGGUAGUUGUAAGGAUUACAUGAUUAAACAUAUCAAGUGUGUCAAAUAGUGCUUGGCACACCGUUGGUGCUCAGUUAAGUGUUAACAACAAACAUUAUUGUUCAAGAAAACUUUUCUCAUCCCAACGUGAUGAAGACAAUGUUUAACGUUUUCUUCCUAAAAUUUUGAGGUUUGGCUUUUCAAAAGUCUUUCAAAAAGUCUUUAGUUACUCUUCCUAUUCCUUUUCUAUUUCCUUCCUUUCCUGAGCAAAUCAUUUGUAAGGCCAUUAGCUGGGGUAGAGCAGGGUAGAUGUCCACGUGGGGCUGAGGGGAAGCCUUGAUGGCCCUGAGUGGGGUGUAAGAGCCUAGAAGGGGUGAGGAGGGCAUCCAUGCAGGAAGGUGGACUGGUGUGGAGAGUAAGAGCCUGAGCAGGGAGAGGAAAGUGUGGAUAUCAGAGCCCUAGUACUGUGAGGUGGGAUCCUUAUGGGAGCAAGAGUUGUGGCAGAGAUGGAAAUUAGUUACUUCUAGGGGGAGUGUUCAAAUAAGUAAAUACAUAAGUAGUAAUAGAAGUAGGAAACUAAUUAGUUCAGAAUUUCAGAGAGUGACAACAAUUAAAAUAACAAAAAGUGUAAAGUUGUAUAAUUGCUUAGCAUUCUGUAGUUCUCAAAGCUCAUGUCUUUAUAGUGAAUACCACUGGGUACUCCAAAAAAGGGAGCUCCUCUCCAAAGGGGGGACUAAAAAUAAAUGGGGACUUCCUGGUUCUUCCCUGACACCUUUGCCCAAAAGCCCAAAUUUAAAAAUUUAUCAACCCUAUUGACCAUGCUAUUAUGUUUCUAAGAGCUUCUGAGUCAGUUGAGGAAACCAACAUGGAUGUUUGGAGCUGGGCCCUCAAACACCACUGGUUUAUAGGUAGGAACUGAUUUUGUGCUUUAAGACGUCUUGUUGCAUGAAGUGAGGCAGAUACAAGGCAGGUAAAAACUCAGGCUCAGUUACACCUUCCUGUAAACUAGGCUGCUGUCAGUUGUUAUCACUAAGGAUUAUCUUGUAAGCUGGGGCAUCAGUCAAGAUUGGAGAUCUGAAAUGACAGUUUCUGAGCUUGAAAAUUAUCUCCAUUCUCUGUCCUUGGACUUAUCUUUGAACAUCUGCUGUCCCAUCUAAACUGGAGUUACUUGAAGUCCCUAUUAUAAAACAGAGGAAAGGAAACAAGUGGUAUCAGGGUCCCUAAAAGGCACCUGGAGCUGCUUUUGCUGGUCUUCUAACCUCUGCUUUCUCACUAGAACAGGGGUGGGCACAGUAUGGUCUGUGGACCAAACCCAGCCUCGCUCCUUCCAUUAGAUAUUGUCUACAGCUUCUUCCCUGCUAAAAGAGCCAAGCUGAGUAGCUGCUACCAGAGACUGUAUGACCUGCAAAGUUAAAAAUAUGUACUCUCUGGCCCCUUCAGAAAGUUUGAUGACCCCCGCUUGAGAAUGUUAACACCAUAGAGACAUUGGCUGUGUCUUGUGCACUGCUUUAGUUCCAGAACGUGGAGAAUUGGAUGCUUUCUGCCCCUCCCCUGCCCUCAGUGUCCUCUCACCUUCUCUCUUACCCCUUUGCUUCUCUAGUAGGCAUAAGAGGAUGGACUCAGCAGUCAGUAUCAUUCAAGAGCAAAGAGAUUGCCAAGCUCUGGUAGAAAAUGAGUAUAGCACCACAGCAAAGCUGUGUUGCCUGGGAUGCUGUCGACCAGGUGCUAUGUCUGCUUUGUAGAUAACAUGUGCCCCCUGAAACUCACCACAACCCAAGACUAUGGGAUUCAGCUACAAGAGGCUGUGGUCCCUUAUGAAAGUUACUAAUGUACAAAACCAAGAGGAUGACUGGUUUGGCCAAAGCUUGACUCAUGAGACAUAAAUGUCUGAGCCCUGAUAUCAGGCAGCUGCUCAGAAAGCCAAGUGUGUGUCAUGGUGAGCUUUGGGAAAGGCUCUGAGGAGAGUACCUUUUGGGAGUUCUCACCCAUAUAUGUCUCAAUUCUUAAAGUAAUAAAUUAAGCUAACAAACUGCUAAAUAAUGACCUCCAUGAUGACCUAGGCUCAACUCUGGAGUCCCACAUUGGACAGUGGUGGUGCAGAGCCAGCUGCCCCAUGACUCACCCUGCUUUUCAUUGUUUUCCUCCUUUCCCAAAGGGCCUCGUGUGUCAUGUGUAGACUUGACCCUGUGUGAUCAAGGACCACCUGUGACCCAGGAAAGAGGCCCACCAGGCCCUAGAAGCAGACUUUACACCAGCUGGGCAGGGAUUUCUGGGUCUGGUGGGCAUAUCUCCUCAGACAUGGGAGUGAAGUAACUGGAGGAGGACCAGAGUGGGGCCUGAAGGGAAGGCUGGAUGGCCAGCCAUGUAAUUUAAUCCUUCUGGGACUUGGUUUCCUUUUCCAUUAAAACAGUGUAAACCAAACGAUUAUAUAAGGGCUUAGUUUUUGAACAGGGAGCUAUUUUCUAGCUCUGCAAGCCUGUAGGUCUAUGAAUCUGAAAACUUCUAGUGCCUGUGCUUCCGUCAACUUGACAAACACCUUGGACAAAAUGUGGCAGCAAUUAUGCCCUGUGGACACCAGGAGUCAUGAACCGUUCACCCCAGAGGACCUGCUGAGGCAUUGAAUUACCACACUGAGGAAACCAAGCCCCAAAUAGCCUGGGUCCAGGGGGCUGAGUGCUUCUGCCUGUUUCAGAAAGAAAUGAACACGUUGGCACUGUGGAAACGGCCUCAGCAUCUUCAAACAGUUACAAAGACAUGUUGGAUCUCAUCACCAACCAAAGAGCCACUCUCACCUGUUCUUGCCUCUUUAAAAAAGCAGAUCCACUUGAAAUGAGAGCAGUGUGGAGGCCACAGCCCGUAGGAAGAUGGACCGAGUUUUCCACUUCUGUGGUUCCGAUGAAAAGGGUUUUGCACUCAUUUGGCUGGGUCAGUUUCACCAUCAGGUGUUCCAGGGAUUACUUAUGCUGGCUGGCCUGAUUGAACGACCAUAUGGCAAAGGCUCCUGCACUUCCAGCUGCCCAGAGUUCCUUUCCAGCUGCAGCGGAAACACAAGCAGUGUAGAAGGAGAUCAGAUGGACUCUUCUCAUCUCAGUUUUCUGGAGAGGUGGUGAGAUGGCUUUUAGAUUUCAAGUCAAAUAGCUGUCAGUCAAUCUCUGAAGGAAGCUCAGCUGAGGGCACUGAAGUCUAUCAGAUCACCCAAGCUUACAGUUUAUGCUUGUUUCCUUGUCUGUAAAGGUUGGAGCCGAUGAUCCUGCAGGUCCUUCUGAUUCUACAAUCCAGACGUUUUAAAGACUCACGCCCACACCCCUACCCCACCCCCGCCCCACGCGCUACAUGCUGACAUGCACGUCAGCUACGCCCUCCGUACGACUUCCUAUGGUGCCUUUUGGUGUGUUUUUUAGCCCAAGAAAGUUAUCAUGUUCUUACUGUCUCAAAAGCCCAGAAGUCACCAUUUAGGUCAUCCUUGAGGUGCAGAAUUCCCUUUGUCCACUUCCUACAGAGGAAAAUUGUUUUAAAGUGGGAUAAUGUAAACAGAAACAUUAUUACUGUUUGUUUCAUGACAUUUAUGUACAACGCUAUGCAGGAGGAUUUCUGUGAACCUUUAUAAGGGUGGUAUGUCAUAGAGUCAGAGUUAGGUUUUGAAUCACAAAUUUAUUAUAGAAAGAUACCAAUUUAAUAAAUGUGUUGCAGUAGGUUUCUAAUAUUUGUAUGCUAAAAUGUGACAGAAAAAACAGAAAAAUGGUCAAAUCUAAUAAGGGGGGAAAGUUUGGAAUUAAAUGCUGCAGAUCAUAGCCUGUGAGUGCCCCUUGUCAGGCCCAGAGAUGACCUAGUAUUAGCCCUUUAAGAGGGCAUAUGCCAGGUUGGGGUGCACAGACCAUUUGUAGCUCUAGGAAACACUUUUGCUACCUAAUUAUAUAUUCUGAGUUAUAAAAAGGAUUUGUAACUGCAAGCGGCUUUCAAAGAAUAAUUUUCUACUGGUGUAAACAGCAACUACGAGAUCUAUAAAUUAGAAAGAGUGGCUGGAAAAUCUCAGCAAAACUCACUUUCCCUGGUGCCUUUACUUAGGCAUUUCUGGGCAAAGUCAGCUUUGCUAAGUAGCCAUUAGGUCUCCACUGGUCAAGAGAAAGGGGA